rnacentral:tRNA from 1 species
GGGGUGUUAGCUCAGCUGGAAGAGCGCUACGCUGGCAGUGUAGAGGUCAGGGGUUCGAUCCCCCUACGCUCCA